UAUCCUGGCUCAGGAUGAACGCUGGCGGCGUGCUUAACACAUGCAAGUCGAACGGAGGACCCUUGACAGAGUUUUCGGACGAUGGAGAGGAAUCCUUAGUGGCGGACGGGUGAGUAACGCGUGAGCAAUCUACCUUGGAGUGGGGAAUAACACAGUGAAAACUGUGCUAAUACCGCAUAAUACAACUGUGUCGCAUGGCAGUGGUUGUCAAAGAUUUAUCGCUCUGAGAUGAGCUCGCGUCUGAUUAGCUAGUAGGCGGGGUAAAGGCCCACCUAGGCGACGAUCAGUAGCCGGACUGAGAGGUUGGCCGGCCACAUUGGGACUGAGACACGGCCCAGACUCCUACGGGAGGCAGCAGUGGGGAAUAUUGGGCAAUGGGCGCAAGCCUGACCCAGCAACGCCGCGUGAAGGAAGAAGGCUUUCGGGCUGUAAACUUCUUUUAUGAGGGACGAAGGAAGUGACGGUACCUCAUGAAUAAGCCACGGCUAACUACGUG
rnacentral:rRNA from 1 species